CCUACGGGAUGCAGCAGUGGGGAAUUUUCCGCAAUGGGCGAAAGCCUGACGGAGAAAUGCCGCGUGGAGGUAGAAGGCCCACGGGUCGUGAACUUCUUUUCCCGGAGAAGAAGCAAUGACGGUAUCUGGGGAAUAAGCAUAGGCUAACUCUGUGCCAGCAGCCGCGGUAAUACAGAGGGUGCAAGCGUUAUCCGGAAUGAUUGGGCGUAAAGCGUCUGUAGGUGGCUUUUUAAGUCCGCUGUCAAAUCCCAGGGCUCAACCCUGGACAGGCGGUGGAAACUACCAAGCUGGAGUACGGUAGAGGCAGAGGGAAUUUCCGGUGGAGCGGUGAAAUGCGUAGAGAUCGGAAAGAACACCAACGGCGAAAGCACUCUGCUGGGCCGACACUGACACUGAGAGACGAAAGCUAGGGGAGCGAAUGGGAUUAGAUACCCCCGUAGUC
rnacentral:rRNA from 1 species